UACGUAGGGGGCAAGCGUUGUCCGGAAUCAUUGGGCGUAAAGAGCGUGUAGGCGGCUCGGUAAGUCCGCUCUGAAAGCCCGGGGCUCAACCCCGGGAGGCGGGCGGAUACUGUCGGGCUAGAGUCCGGAAGAGGCGAGUGGAAUUCCUGGUGUAGCGGUGAAAUGCGCAGAUAUCAGGAGGAACACCAAUGGCGAAGGCAGCUCGCUGGGACGGUACUGACGCCUGAGACGCGAAAGCGUGGG
rnacentral:rRNA from 1 species